UACGUAGGGUGCAAGCAUUAAUCGGAAUUACUGGGCGUAAAGCGUGCGCAGGCGGUGAUGUAAGACAGAUGUGAAAUCCCCGGGCUCAACCUGGGAACUGCAUUUGUGACUGCAUCGCUGGAGUGCGGCAGAGGGGGAUGGAAUUCCGCGUGUAGCAGUGAAAUGCGUAGAUAUGCGGAGGAACACCGAUGGCGAAGGCAAUCCCCUGGGCCUGUACUGACGCUCAUGCACGAAAGCGUGGGGAGCAAACAGG
rnacentral:rRNA from 1 species